AAACUAAACUUUUUCUUUCAGUCAGUAUUAGGGUUUUAAACCCUAAACUGAACUUUUCCUUUUAGUCAGCAUUAGGGUUUUAAACCCUAAACUAAACUUUUUCUUUCAGGCUGCAUUAGAGUUUUAAACCCUAAACUGAACUUUUUCUUUCAGUCAGCAUUAGGGUUUUAAACCCUAAACUGAACUUUUUCCUUUCAGCCAGCAUUAGGGUUUUAAACCCUAAACUGAGCUUUUCCAUGCAAUCAGCAUUAGGGUUUUAAACCCUAAACUGAAUUUUCCUUUUUAGUCAGCAUUAGGGUUUUAAACCCUAAACUGAACUUUUUCCAUUCAGCCAGCAUUAGGGUUUUAAACCCUAAACUGAGCUUUUCCAUACAAUCAGCAUUAGGGUUUUAAACCCUAAACUGAACUUUUUCCUUUCAGCCAGCAUUAAGGUUUUAAACCCUAAACUGAGCUUUUCCAUGCAAUCAGCAUUAGGGUUUUAAACCCUAAACUGAACUUUUCCUUCCAGUCAGCAUUAGGGUUUUAAACCCUAAACUGAGCUUUUCCAUGUAAUCAGCAUUAGGGUUUUAAACCCUAAACUGAAUUUUCCUUUUAGUCAGCAUUAGGGUUUUAAACCCUAAACUGAAUUUUUCCUUUAGUCAGCAUUAGGGUUUUAAACCCUAAACUGAACUUUUUCCUUUCAGCCAGCAUUAGGGUUUUAAACCCUAAACUGAGCUUUUCCAUGCAAUCAGCAUUAGGGUUUUAAACCCUAAACUGAAUUUUCCUUUUAGUCAGCAUUAGGGUUUUAAACCCUAAACUGAGCUUUUCCAUGUAAUCAGUAUUAGGGUUUUAAACCCUAAACUGAAUUUACCUUUUAGUCAGCAUUAGGGUUUUAAACCCUAAAUUGAGCUUUUCCAUGUAAUCAGCAUUAGGGUUUUAAACCCUAAACUGAACUUUUUCUUUCAGUCAGCAUUAGGGUUUUAAAACCUAAACUGAACUUUUCCUUUUAGUCAGCAUUAGGGUUUUAAACCCUAAACUGAACUUUUUCCUUUCAGCCAGCAUUAGGAUUUUAAACCCUAAACUUAGCUUUUCCAUGCAAUCAGCAUUAGGGUUUUAAACCCUAAACUGAACUUUUCGUUCCAGCCAGCAUUAGGGUUUUAAAUCCUAAACUGAGCUUUUCCAUGCAAUCAGCAUUAGGGUUUUAAACCCUAAACUAAACUUUUCCAUGCAAUCAGCAUUAGGGUUUUAAACCCUAAACUGAAUUUUCCUUUUAGUCAGCAUUAGGGUUUUAAACCCUAAACUAAAUUUUUCCUUUAGUCAGCAUUAGGGUUUUAAACCCUAAACUGAACUUUUUCCUUUCAGCCAGCAUUAGGGUUUUAAACCCUAAACCGAGCUUUUCCAUGCAAUCAGCAUUAGGGUUUUAAACCCUAAACUGAACUUUUCCUUCCAGUCAGCAUUAUGGUUUUAAACCCUAAACUGAACUUUUUCUUUUAGUCAGCAUUAGAGUUUUAAACCCUAAACUGAACUUUUUCUUUCAGUCAGCAUUAGGGUUUUAAACCCUAAACUGAACUUUUCCUUUUAGUCAGCACUAGGGUUUUAAACCCUAAACUGAACUUUUUCCUUUCAGCCAGCAUUAGGGUUUUAAACCCUAAACUUAGCUUUUCCAUGCAAUCAGCAUUAGGGUUUUAAACCCUAAACUGAACUUUUCCUUCCAGUCAGCAUUAGGGUUUUAAACCCUAAACUGAACUUUUUCUUUCAGUCAGCAUUAGGGUUUUAAACUCUAAACUAAACUUUUUCUUUCAGUCAGCAUUAGGAUUUUAAACCCUAAACUGAACUUUUCCUUUUAGUCAGCAUUAGGGUUUUAAACCCUAAACUGAACUUUUUCUUUCAGGCUGCAUUAGAGUUUUAAACCCUAAACUGAACUUUUUCUUUCAGUCAGCAUUAGGGUUUUAAACCCUAAACUGAACUUUCCUUUUAGUCAGCAUUAGGGUUUUAAACCCUAAACUGAACUUUUUCCUUUCAGCCAGCAUUAGAGUUUUAAACUCUAAACUGAUCUUUUUCAUGCAAUCAGCAUUAGGGUUUUAAACCCUAAACUGAAUUUUCCUUUUAGUCAGCAUUAGGGUUUUAAACCCUAAACUGAACUCUUUCCUCUAGUCAGCAUUAGAGUUUUAAACCCUAAACUGAACUCUUUCCAUUCAGCCAGAUUAGGGUUUUAAACCCUAAACUGAACUUUUUCCUUUCAGCCAGCAUUAGGGUUUUAAACCCUAAACUGAGCUUUUCCAUGCUAUCAGCAUUAGGGUUUUAAACCCUAAACUGAAUUUUCCUUUUAGUCUGCAUUAGGGUUUUAAACCCUAAACUGAACUUUUUCCUUUCAGCCAGCAUUAGGGUUUUAAACCCUAAACUGAGCUUUUCCAUGCAAUCAGCAUUAGGGUUUUAAACCCUAAACUGAAUUUUCCUUUUAGUCAGCAUUAGGGUUUUAAACCCUAAACUGAACUUUUUUCAUUCAAUCAGCAUUAGGGUUUAAACCCUAAACUGAAUUUUCCUUAGUCAGCAUUAGGGUUUUAAACCCUAAACUGAAUUCUUCCUUUAGUCAGCAUUAGGGUUUUAAACCCUAAACUGAACUUUUUCCCAUUCAGCCAGCAUUAGGGUUUUAAACCCCAAACUGAGCUUUUCCUUCCAGUCGGCAUUAGGGUUUUAAACCCUAAACUGAAUUUUCCUUUCAGUCAGCAUUAGGGUUUUAAACCCUAAACUGAAUUUUUCCUUUCAGUCAGCAUUAGGGUUUUAAACCCUAAACUGAAUUUUUCCUUUAGUCGGCAUUAGGGUUUUAAACCCUAAACUGAGCUUUUCCAUGCAGUCAGCAUUAGAGUUUUAAACCUUAAACUGAACUUUUCCAUUCAGCCAGCAUUAGGGUUUUAAACCCUAAACUGAGCUUUUCCAUGCACUCAGCAUUAGGGUUUUAAACCCUAAACUGAAUUUUUCCUUUAGUCAGCAUUAGGGUUUUAAACCCUAAACUGAACUUUUUCCCAUUCAGCCAGCAUUAGGGUUUUAAACCCCAAACUGAGCUUUUCCUUCCAGUCAGCAUUAGGGUUUUAAACCAUAAACUGAACUUUUUUCCAUUCAGCCAGCAUUAGGGUUUUAAACCCUAAACUGAGCUUUUCCAUGCGAUCAGCAUUAGGGUUUUAAACCCUAAACUGAAUUUUCCUUUUAGUCAGCAUUAGGGUUAUAAACCCUAAACUGAACUUUUUUUCCAUUCAGCCAGCAUUAGGGUUUUAAACCCUAAACUGAGCUUUUCCAUGUAAUCAACAUUAGGGUUUUAAACCCUAAAUUGAAUUUUCCCUUUAGUCAGCAUUAGGGUUUUAAACCCUAAACUGAACUUUUUCCAUUCAGCCAGCAUUAGGGUUUUAAACCCUAAACUGAGCUUUUCCAUGCAAUCAGCAUUAGGGUUUUAAACCAUAAACUGAAUUUUUCCUUUAGCCAGCAUUAGGGUUUAAAACCCCAAACUGAAUUUUUUCCUUUCAGUCAGCAUUAGGGUUUAAAACCCUAAACUGAAUUUUUUCCUUUCAGUCAGCAUUAGGGUUUAAAACCCUAAACUGAAUUUUUCCUAUAGUUAGCAUUAUGGUUUUAAACCCUAAACUGAACAUUUUUCCAUUCAGCCAGCAUUAGGGUUUUAAACCCUAAAUUGAGCUUUUCCAUGUAAUCAGCAUUAGGGUUUUAAACCCUAAACUGAACUUUUUUCCUUUCAGCCAGCAUUAGAGUUUUAAACCCUAAACUGAGUUUUUCCAUGUAAUUAGCAUUAGGGUUUUAAACCCUAAACUGAAUUUUCCUUUUAGUCAGCAUUAGGGUUUUAAACCCUAAACUGUACUUUUUUCCAUUCAGCCAGCAUUAGGGUUUUAAACCCUAAACUGAGCUUUUCCAUGUAAUCAGCAUUAGGGUUUUAAACCCUAAACUGAAUUUUCCUUUUAGUCAGCAUUAGGGUUUUAAACCCUAAACUGAACUUUUUUCCAUUCAGCCAGCAUUAGGGUUUUAAACCCUAAACUGAGCUUUUCCAUGUAAUCAGCAUUAGGGUUUUAAACCCUAAACUAAAUUUUCCCUUUAGUCAGCAUUAGGGUUUUAAACCCUAAACUGAACUUUUUCCAUUCAGCCAAUAUUAGGGUUUUAAACGCUAAACUGAGCUUUUCCAUGUAAUCAGCAUUAGGGUUUUAAACCCUAAACUGAAUUUUUCCUUUAGUCAGCAUUAGGAUUUUAAACCCUAAACUGAACUUUUUCCCAUUCAGCCAGCAUUAGGGUUUUAAACCCCAAACUGAGCUUUUCCUUCCAGUCAGUAUUAGGGUUUUAAACCCUAAACUGAACUUUUUUCCAUUCAGCCAGCAUUAGGGUUUUAAACCCUAAACUGAGCUUUUCCAUGCGAUCAGCAUUAGGGUUUUAAACCCUAAACUGAAUUUUUCCUUUAGUCAGCAUUAGGGUUUUAAACCCAAAACUGAGUUUUUCCAUGUAGUCAGCAUUAGGGUUUUAAACCCUAAACUGAACUUUUUUCCAUUCAGCCAGCAUUAGGGUUUUAAACCCUAAACUGAGCUUUUCCAUGCGAUCAACAUUAGGGUUUUAAACCCUAAACUGAAUUUUUCCUUUAGUCAGCAUUAGGGUUUUAAACCCUAAACUGAACUUUUUCCCAUUCAGCCAGCAUUAGGGUUUUAAACCCCAAACUGAGCUUUUCCUUCCAGUUAGCAUUAGGGUUUUAAACCCUAAACUGAACUUUUUUCCAUUCAGCCAGCAUUAGGGUUUUAAACCCCAAACUGAGCUUUUCCUUCCAGUCGGCAUUAGGGUUUUAAACCCUAAACUGAAUUUUCCUUUCAGUCAGCAUUAGAGUUUUAAACCCUAAACUGAAUUUUUCCUUUCAGUCAGCAUUAGGGUUUUAAACCCUAAACUGAAUUUUUCCUUUAGUCAGCAUUAGGGUUUUAAACCCUAAACUGAGCUUUUCCAUGCAGUCAGCAUUAGGGUUUUAAACCUUAAACUGAACUUUUCCAUUCAGCCAGCAUUAGGGUUUUAAACCCUAAACUGAGCUUUUCCAUGCAGUUGGCAUUAGGGUUUUAAACCUUAAACUGAACUUUUCCAUUCAGCCAGCAUUAGAGUUUUAAACCCUAAACUGAGCUUUUCCAUGCAAUCAGCAUUAGGGUUUUAAACCCUAAACUGAAUUUUUCCUUUAGUCAGCAUUAGGGUUUUAAACCCUAAACUGAACUUUUUCCCAUUCAGUCAGCAUUAGGGUUUUAAACCCCAAACUGAGCUUUUCCUUCCAGUCAGCAUUAGGGUUUUAAACCCUAAACUGAAUUUUCCUUUCAGUCAGCAUUAGGGUUUUAAACCCUAAACUGAAUUUUUCCUUUCAGUCAGCAUUAGGGUUUUAAACCCUAAACUGAAUUUUUCCUUUAGCCAGCAUUAGGGUUUUAAACCCCAAACUAAGCUUUUCCAUGCAGUCAGCAUUAGGGUUUUAAACCAUAAACUGAGCUUUUCCAUUCAAUCAGCAUUAGGGUUUUAAACCCUAAACUGAAUUUUUCCAUUCAAUCAGCAUUAGGGUUUUAAACCCUAAACUGAACUUUUUCCCAUUCAGCCAGCAUUAGGGUUUUAAACCCCAAACUGAGCUUUUCCUUCCAGUCAGCAUUAGGGUUUUAAACCCUAAACUGAAUUUUCCUUUCAGUCAGCAUUAGAGUUUUAAACCCUAAACUGAAUUUUUCCUUUCAGUCAGCAUUAGGGUUUAAAACCCUAAACUGAAUUUUUUCCUUUCAGUCAGCAUUAGGGUUUAAAACCCUAAACUGAAUUUUUCCUUUAGUUAGCAUUAGGGUUUUAAACCCUAAACUAAGCU
rnacentral:lncRNA from 1 species